rnacentral:rRNA from 1 species
UACGGAGGGUGCAAGCGUUAUCCGGAUUCACUGGGUUUAAAGGGUGCGUAGGUGGGUUGGUAAGUCAGUGGUGAAAUCUCCGGGCUUAACUCGGAAACUGCCGUUGAUACUAUCAAUCUUGAAUGUUGUGGAGGUAAGCGGAAUAUGUCAUGUAGCGGUGAAAUGCUUAGAUAUGACAUAGAACACCGAUAGCGAAGGCAGCUUGCUACACAAUAAUUGACACUGAGGCACGAAAGCGUGGGGAGCAAACAGG